UGGGGAAUUUUGCACAAUGGGCGCAAGCCUGAUGCAGCGACGCCGCGUGAGGGAUGAAGGCCUUCGGGUUGUAAACCUUUUUCGCUCAUGGUCAAGCCGCAGCUUUGGGUUGUGGUGAGGGUAGUGGGUAAAGAAGCGCCGGCUAACUACGUGCCAGCAGCCGCGGUAAUACGUAGGGCGCGAGCGUUGUCCGGAAUUAUUGGGCGUAAAGGGCUUGUAGGCGGUUGGCCGCGUCUGCCGUGAAAUCCUCUGGCUUAACUGGGGGCGUGCGGUGGGUACGGGUUGACUUGAGUGCGGUAGGGGAGACUGGAAUUCCUGGUGUAGCGGUGGAAUGCGCAGAUAUCAGGAGGAACACCGGUGGCGAAGGCGGGUCUCUGGUCUGUAACUGACGCUGAGGCUCGAAAGCGUGGGGAGCGAACAGG
rnacentral:rRNA from 1 species